rnacentral:rRNA from 1 species
GACGAACGCUGGCGGCGUGCUUAACACAUGCAAGUCGAACGAAGUGGCGAAAGGGGGAGUAUUACGUGGGUAACCUGCCCUCCUUUGUGGGAUAAGACUUGGAAACAGGGUCUAAUACCCAAUAAAGGGGGUUGGGAUCGCGGCCGAUGAGCUUGGUGUUGGGGGGGGGGCCUACAAAGGCGGUGAUGGGUAGCCGGCAUGAGAGGGUGACCGGCGACAGUGGGACUGAGACACGGACCAGACUCCGACGGGAGGCAGCAGUGGGGAGUAUUGCACAAGGGGCGCAAGCCUGAUGCAGCCAUGCCGCGUGUAUGAAGAAGGCCCUAGGGUUGUAAAGUAUUUUCAGUCGGGAGGCGUUACCGACAGAAGAAGCACCGGCUAACUCCGUGCCAGCAGCCGCGGUAAUAC